rnacentral:tRNA from 2 species
UAAGCCGUAGCUCAGUAAGGGAGAGCGGCGGGCUCCAGACCCGUUGGUCGUGGGUUCAAAUCCCACCGGCCCCACCA